rnacentral:siRNA from 1 species
UUUAGGUGGAAAUUUUAUUGC